AACAAUGUAAAAUUGUAAUUUUUAUUGUACUGAACAAAUUAAAAUAUCAAUCAAAUCAAAUAAAAAACUAAAAAGGUCCAAAAUCAAAUCUAUGCUGCUGCUCAUCUGCAGGAUCCGAUGUCGGAUCGGCGAGAGGAGUACCUGCUGGAUGUGAUGUAGCGGCAGGAGGGGUGACCAAGGUAUCGUCUGCAGCAUCGGGAUCAAGAGCAGGAAGUGGCUGCUGCUN
rnacentral:lncRNA from 1 species